UGACGGUACCGGAAGAAGAAGCACCGGCUAACUACGUGCCAGCAGCGCGGUAAUACGUAGGGUGCGAGCGUUAAUCGGAAUUACUGGGGCGUAAAGGGUGCGCAGGCGGUUUUGCAAGCCAGACGUGAAAUCCCCGGGGCUUAACCUGGGAACUGCGUUUGGAACUGCAAGACUAGAGUGUGUCAGAGGGAGUGAAUUCCACGUGUAGCAGUGAAAUGCGUAGAUAUGUGGAGGAACACCGAUGGCGAAGGCCAGCCUCCUGGGAUAACACUGACGCUCAUGCACGAAAGCGUGGGGAGCAAACAGGAUUAGAUACCCUGGUAGUCCACGCCCUAAACGAUGUCAACUGGCUGUUGGGAGAGAAAUCUUUCAGUAGCGAAGCUAACGCGUGAAGUUGACCGCCUGGGGAGUACGGCCGCAAGGUUGAAAACUCAAAGGAAUUGACGGGGGCCCGCACAAGCGGUGGAUGAUGUGGAG
rnacentral:rRNA from 1 species